rnacentral:rRNA from 1 species
UACGUAGGGGGCAAGCGUUGUCCGGAAUUACUGGGCGUAAAGGGCUCGUAGGCGGCCAACUAAGUCAGACGUGAAAUCCCUCGGCUUAACCGGGGAACUGCGUCUGAUACUGGAUGGCUUGAGUUUGGGAGAGGGAUGCGGAAUUCCAGGUGUAGCGGUGAAAUGCGUAGAUAUCUGGAGGAACACCGGUGGCGAAGGCGGCAUCCUGGACCAACACUGACGCUGAGUGAGCGAAAGCCAGGGAGCAAAGCGGGAUAG